UACAGAGGUCUCAAGCGUUGUUCGGAUUCAUUGGGCGUAAAGGGUGUGUAGGUGGCGCCGUAAGUCGGGUGUGAAAUUUCGGAGCUUAACUCCGAAACUGCAUUCGAUACUGCGGUGCUUGAGGACUGGAGAGGAGACUGGAAUUCAUGGUGUAGCAGUGAAAUGCGUAGAGAUCAUGAGGAAGACCAGUGGCGAAGGCGGGUCUCUGGACAGUUCCUGACACUGAGACACGAAGGCCAGGGGAGCAAACGAG
rnacentral:rRNA from 1 species